rnacentral:rRNA from 1 species
GACGAACGCUGGCGGUGUGCCUAACACAUGCCAGUCGAACGGUAAGGCCCUUUCGGGGGUACACGAGUGGCGAACGGGUGAGUAACACGUGAGUAACCUGCCCUCAUCUCUGGGAUAACAGUCGGAAACGGUUGCUAAUACUGGAUAUGAGCUUGCAAGGCAUCUUGUGGGUUGGAAAGAUUUUUUUGGUUGGGGAUGGACUCGCGGCGUAUCGGCUUGUUGGUGAGGUAGUGGCUCACCAAGGCUUCGACGGGUAGCCGGCCUGAGAGGGCGACCGGCCACAUUGGGACUGAGAGACGGCCCAAGCUCCUACGGGAGGCAGCAGUGGGGAAGAUUGCACAAGGGACGGAAGGCGGAUGCAGCAACGCCGCGGGCGGGAUGACGGCCUUCGGGUUGUAAAACGCUUUCAAUUGUGACGAAGCUUUUUGUGACGGUAGCAGUAGAAGAAGCACCGGCUAACUACGUG